AGCGAACGCUGGCGGCAGGCCUAACACAUGCAAGUCGAACGAAGUCUUCGGACUUAGUGGCGGACGGGUGAGUAACACGUGGGAACGUGCCUUUAGGUUCGGAAUAACUCAGGGAAACUUGUGCUAAUACCGAAUGUGCCCUUCGGGGGAAAGAUUUAUCGCCUUUAGAGCGGCCCGCGUCUGAUUAGCUAGUUGGUGGGGUAAUGGCCCACCAAGGCUACGAUCAGUAGCUGGUCUGAGAGGAUGACCAGCCACAUUGGGACUGAGACACGGCCCAAACUCCUACGGGAGGCAGCAGUGGGGAAUCUUGCGCAAUGGGCGAAAGCCUGACGCAGCCAUGCCGCGUGGAUGAUGAAGGUCUUAGGAUUGUAAAAUCCUUUCACCGGUGAAGAUAAUGACUGUAGCCGGAGAAGAAGCCCCGGCUAACUUCGUGCCAGCCGCCGCAGUAACAC
rnacentral:rRNA from 1 species